rnacentral:tRNA from 1 species
GGGCCUGUAGCUCAAGUUGGUAGAGCAGCGAACUCAUAAUUCGUCGGUCACUGGUUCGAACCCAGUCGGGCCUACCA